GGUGAACGCUGGCGGCGUGCUUAAGACAUGCAAGUCGAACGCAGUCUUCGGACUGAGUGGCGCACGGGUGAGUAACACGUAACUGACCUACCCCCAAGUCGCGAAUAACCAGCCGAAAGGAUGGCUAAUACGUGAUGUGAUGAUCCGCUGUGGCGGAUCAUUAAAGACUUGAUCGCUUGGGGAUGGGGUUGCGUUCCAUCAGCUAGUUGGUAAGGUAAAGGCUUACCAAGGCAACGACGGAUAGCCGGCCUGAGAGGGUGGCCGGCCACAGGGGCACUGAGACACGGGUCCCACUCCUACGGGAGGCAGCAGUUAGGAAUCUUCCACAAUGGGUGCAAGCCUGAUGGAGCGACGCCGCGCGAGGGAUGAAGGUUCUCGGAUCGUAAACCUCUGAACCAACGACGAAAGACCCGACAAGGGAGAUGACGGUAGUUGGGUAAUAGCACCGGCUAACUCCGUGCCAGCAGCCGCCGUAAGAC
rnacentral:rRNA from 1 species